GACGAACGCUGGCGGCGUGCCUAAUACAUGCAAGUCGAACGAAGCUGUUUUAACUGGUGCUUGCACCGACUUAAACAACUGAGUGGCGAACGGGUGAGUAACACGUGGGUAACCUGCCCCAAAGCGGGGGAUAACAUUUGGAAACAGAUGCUAAUACCGCAUAACCACAGAAACCACAUGGUUUCUGUGUCAAAGAUGGUUUCGGCUAUCACUUUGGGAUGGACCCGCAGCGUAUUAGCUAGUUGGUAAGGUAAUGGCUUACCAAGGCAAUUUAACGGAGCCGAACUGAGAGGUGGAUCGGCCACAUUGGGACUGAGACACGGCCCAAACUCCUACGUGAGGCAGCAGUAGUGAAUCUUCCACAAUGGACGAAAGUCUGAUGGAGCAACGCCGCGUGAGUGAAGAAUGUUUUCGGAUCGUAAAACUCUGUUGUCAGAGAAGAACGUGUGCGAGAGUAACUGCUCGUGCAGUGACGGUAUCUGGCCAGAAAGCCACGGCUAACUACGUGCCAGCAGCCGCCGCAG
rnacentral:rRNA from 1 species